rnacentral:rRNA from 1 species
UACAGAGGGUGCAAGCGUUAAUCGGAAUUACUGGGCGUAAAGAGCGCGUAGGUGGUUCGUUAAGUUGGAUGUGAAAUCCCCGGGCUCAACCUGGGAACUGCAUCCAAAACUGGCGAGCUAGAGUAUGGUAGAGGGUGGUGGAAUUUCCUGUGUAGCGGUGAAAUGCGUAGAUAUAGGAAGGAACACCAGUGGCUAAGGCGACCCCCUGGACUGAUACUGACACUGAGGUGCGAAAGCGUGGGGAGCAAACAGG